rnacentral:rRNA from 1 species
AGAGUUUGAUCCUGGCUACAGAACGAACGCUGGCGGCAUGCUUUACACAUGCAAGUCGAACGGCAGCACGGGGGCAACCCUGGUGGCGAGUGGCGAACGGGUGAGUAAUACAUCGGAACGUGCCCAGUCGUGGGGGAUAACGUAGCGAAAGCUACGCUAAUACCGCAUACGAACUCUGGUUGAAAGCGGGGGAUCGCAAGACCUCGCGCGAUUGGAGCGGCCGAUGGCAGAUUAGGUAGUUGGUGGGGUAAAGGCUCACCAAGCCGACGAUCUGUAGCUGGUCUGAGAGGACGACCAGCCACACUGGGACUGAGACACGGCCCAGACUCCUACGGGAGGCAGCAGUGGGGAAUUUUGGACAAUGGGCGAAAGCCUGAUCCAGCCAUUCCGCGUGCAGGAUGAAGGCCCUCGGGUUGUAAACUGCUUUUGUACGGAACGAAACGGUCCUGGUUAAUACCUGGGGCUAAUGACGGUACCGUAAGAAUAAGCACCGGCUAACUACGUG